rnacentral:tRNA from 1 species
GCAGUCGUACUCAAGUCUGGUUUAAGAGGGCUGUUUUGAAAACAGCUAGGUGGGUAACACGCGCGGGUUCGAAUCCUGCCGGCUGCGCCA